AAACGGUUCUGGGAGUGUGCAGAGGCAGGGUCAACCGGGUUGAGGGUGAAGCCGAGAACCACCGUUAGCUCUCUUAUGGGUGACUGGCUAAGAUGCUAUUUGGUGCCUGGAAAAAUAGAGUAGAGAGAAGUGCAGGAGGAAAAGGAAAAAAAAGAAAGGGAGAGAGGAGAAAGCAGGGCGAGGGAAUAAGGUGCUAACGGCUUUUAGAUAUGCAAUAUCUAAUGAGGACAUCGCAAAGGCCUCGAGCCACCUGUGCUCCCAGAGCGAGUGGACCAGAAUUUCAGCUUGCGAUUCACUGGCAUGAUCACCAGUUCCUCCCCAGAUGUCCCCAGAGAGCUCCACGCUCCCUCCAUGUAAGCUGCUCCACGGGGAUAAAUUCCCUGGGUGUCGGGCUCAGGGCUACAACCUCUUCCCCGCGUCCUGCUGUCUGACUGCAGUAGUGGCGUGUGUGGAUCUCAUCGUGGAGGUUUUAUCCGGAUUGCAGGGUGUGAAUACGGGACUAAAUAAUCUCCUGUGUAUUUUCCAUUCUGCUCCACAUUUCCAGUCCUCAGAAGUCAGAUGUAAAUCGAAAUCAAGAGAUUUCCUGCGAUCACCCCGGUGCUCUGUAUCCUCUCUGCCUCCCGACUGGAGUCCCGUUUCCUUCAGGAGCAGCAGCCCCUUGCGCGGGAGCCGGCAGAGUUUCCCACACUACAUGCAGUGCUGCUGCUGCUGCUGCUGCUCUCCGCAGGGACAGGGCCUCAUCGGACCCUAUAGCGCCUCCAUCCGGAGAAACCCUUCCACGGUCCUCCAUCCACUGCGAGUGCAAGCAGGGCUCACUGCCACUUUAAAUGAUGCUUAAUGUGCUCCUCAGAAGAAUUCAAAGAGGCAGCACUGUUUUCUGUCUAAAAACCAAGGAAACAGAAGUUUAGAAAGAUGGAUAGAUUUGCCCUAAGCCGUACAACCAAUAAGUAUUAGAGCCAAAAUUUUAAUUAAAGUCUGUUUGAUCCCAGGUGCCUACUUCUAGUAUGUAAUUAGCACCUUAAUUAUUCCCAGACUAGGGCACAGAGAGGGAUAUUUCUAAUAUGUCUGUAUUUAUAGUACUAAUAAUCUUACCAAGUCAAUUUCCCUGAAAAAAAAAAUGGUGCAAAGUCACAUUUGUGUAGAAGAAACAUAACAUGGUGUCAUUUUGAUUUAUUCUGACUUCGUGUGAUUGUUUUAAAGGGAAAACAAUGGCUAGCAGCAGUCUUGAAGUGUCUUCACAGACCUCACCUACAGCUAUCAUUUCACAACUUGCGUUUGAUAUCAGAAUCUAUGGAUUUCACAUACUGAGUCACCCACAGAUGCUCAGAGGAUGAGGGUUACUGAGAGUUUCAAAGGACUUUCUAACUGGGGCCCCUCUUGCUGAGGCUGUCCAUGGCUAAACUGUUCCCCAACUUGAGCUCUGUGGGCAUCGUAUGCAGGGCUGUAUGUCACUCACUCAUCAACAGACAGUUACUGAAUGGCUUAAAGAGGCCAGACAGUAACAUGGAAUAGGACCAUGAAGCUUCUGAGUCUGUAAAGGAAGGGAGUGAGCAGAAAGGAAGGGCAAAAUGUCUUCCCGUGUGACACGG
ensembl:lincRNA